rnacentral:rRNA from 1 species
AAGACCCCAAUGCGUCGCG